AACGAACGCUGGCGGCAGGCUUAACACAUGCAAGUCGAGCGCCCCGCAAGGGGAGCGGCAGACGGGUGAGUAACGCGUGGGAAUCUACCCAUCUCUACGGAAUAACGCAUGGAAACGUGUGCUAAUACCGUAUACGUCCUUCGGGAGAAAGAUUUAUCGGAGAUGGAUGAGCCCGCGUUGGAUUAGCUAGUUGGUGGGGUAAAGGCCUACCAAGGCGACGAUCCAUAGCUGGUCUGAGAGGAUGAUCAGCCACACUGGGACUGAGACACGGCCCAGACUCCUACGGGAGGCAGCAGUGGGGAAUAUUGGACAAUGGGCGCAAGCCUGAUCCAGCCAUGCCGCGUGAGUGAUGAAGGCCCUAGGGUUGUAAAGCUCUUUCACCGGUGAAGGUAAUGACGGUAACCGGAGAAGAAGCCCCGGCUAACUUCGUGCCAACAGCCGCGGUAACAC
rnacentral:rRNA from 1 species